AGAGCGAACGCUGGCGGCAGGCCUAAUACAUGCAAGUCGAACGCACCUUCGGGUGAGUGGCGGACGGGUGAGUAACACGUGGGAACGUGCCUUUUGGUUCGGAAUAAUCCGGGGAAACCUGGCCUAAUACCGGAUGUGCCCUUCGGGGGAAAGAUUUAUCGCCAUUAGAGCGGCCCGCGUCUGAUUAGCUUGUUGGUGGGGUAAUGGCCCACCAAGGCUACGAUCAGUAGCUGGUCUGAGAGGAUGAUCAGCCACACUGGGACUGAGACACGGCCCAGACUCCUACGGGAGGCAGCAGUAGGGAAUCUUGCGCAAUGGGCGAAAAGCCUGACGCAGCCAUGCCGCGUGAAUGAUGAAAGGUCUUAGGAUUGUAAAAAUUCUUUCAGCGGGGAAGAUAAUGACUGUACCCGCAGAAGAAGCUCCGGCUAACUUCGCGCCAGCAGCCGCC
rnacentral:rRNA from 1 species